GGCUCAGAUUGAACGCUGGCGGCAUGCCUUACACAUGCAAGUCGAACGGUAACAGGUCUUCGGAUGCUGACGAGUGGCGAACGGGUGAGUAAUACAUCGGAACGUGCCCGAGAGUGGGGGAUAACGAGGCGAAAGCUUUGCUAAUACCGCAUACGAUCUCAGGAUGAAAGCAGGGGACCGCAAGGCCUUGCGCUCACGGAGCGGCCGAUGGCAGAUUAGGUAGUUGGUGGGAUAAAAGCUUACCAAGCCGACGAUCUGUAGCUGGUCUGAGAGGACGACCAGCCACACUGGGACUGAGACACGGCCCAGACUCCUACGGGAGGCAGCAGUGGGGAAUUUUGGACAAUGGGCGCAAGCCUGAUCCAGCCAUGCCGCGUGCAGGAUGAAGGCCUUCGGGUUGUAAACUGCUUUUGUACGGAACGAAAAGACUCUGGUUAAUACCUGGGGUCCAUGACGGUACC
rnacentral:rRNA from 1 species